CCUUAUUUUGACUUGAGGGCCUUGACAGGGAUAGAAGCGCAUCUCGUUGUUUUGCAAGAAUGGAUAUCGUUAGAAGUACAUGUACAUAACAGAUGAGUAUAUGGAAUUGGCUUACACUCACCACAAGCUACAUCAAGUUCACAUCAAUAAAACAAUAUACGGUCAUCAUGAAGAAGAGCAGGGUCCGACUACGGAUGAAAACAAACGAUAAAAGAACGACGUUCAUCCUUGCAAUCGCAGGCUGCCAGCCUGGAACCCAUCCUAGAUCGAAGAAGAAGAAGAAGA
rnacentral:lncRNA from 1 species